rnacentral:rRNA from 1 species
CGUGCAGGAUGACGGUCCUAUGGAUUGUAAACUGCUUUUGUACGAGAAGAAACAACAUUACGUGUAAUGUCUUGACGGUAUCGUAAGAAUAAGGAUCGGCUAACUCCGUGCCAGCAGCCGCGGUAAUACGGAGGAUCCAAGCGUUAUCCGGAAUCAUUGGGUUUAAAGGGUCCGUAGGCGGUUUAGUAAGUCAGUGGUGAAAGCCCAUCGCUCAACGGUGGAACGGCCAUUGAUACUGCUGAACUUGAAUUAUUAGGAAGUAACUAGAAUAUGUAGUGUAGCGGUGAAAUGCUUAGAGAUUACAUGGAAUACCAAUUGCGAAGGCAGGUUACUACUAAUGGAUUGACGCUGAUGGACGAAAGCGUGGGUAGCGAACAGGAUUAGAUACCCUGGUAGUCCACGCCGUAAACGAUGGAUACUAGCUGUUGGGAGCAAUUUCAGUGGCUAAGCGAAAGUGAU